rnacentral:rRNA from 1 species
GAUGAACGCUGGCGGCGUGCCUAAUACAUGCAAGUCGAGCGAACGGACGAGAAGCUUGCUUCUCUGAUGUUAGCGGCGGACGGGUGAGUAACACGUGGAUAACCUACCUAUAAGACUGGGAUAACUUCGGGAAACCGUAGCUAAUACCGGAUAAUAUAUUGAACCGCGUGGUUCAAUAGUGAAAGACGGUUUUGCUGUCACUUAUAGAUGGAUCCGCGCCGCAUUAGCUAGUUGGUAAGGUAACGGCUUACCAAGGCAACGAUGCGUAGCCGACCUGAGAGGGUGAUCGGCCACACUGGAACUGAGACACGGUCCAGACUCCUACGGGAGGCAGCAGUAGGGAAUCUUCCGCAAUGGGCGCAAGCCUGACGGAGCAACGCCGCGUGAGUGAUGAAGGUCUUCGGAUCGUAAAACUCUGUUAUUAGGGAAGAACAAAUGUGUAAGUAACUAUGCACGUCUUGACGGUACCUAAUCAGAAAGCCACGGCUAACUACGUG